rnacentral:rRNA from 1 species
GAUGAACGCUAGCUACAGGCUUAACACAUGCAAGUCGAGGGGAAACGACAUCGAAAGCUUGCUUUUGAUGGGCGUCGACCGGCGCACGGGUGAGUAACGCGUAUCCAACCUGCCCACCACUUGGGGAUAACCUUGCGAAAGUAAGACUAAUACCCAAUGAUAUCUCUAGAAGACAUCUGAAAGAGAUUAAAGAUUUAUCGGUAAUGGAUGGGGAUGCGUAGGAUUAGUUUGUUGGCGGGGUAACGGCCCCCCAAGGGUACGAUCAGUAGGGGUUCUGAGAGGAAGGUCCCCCACAUUGGAACUGAGACACGGUCCAAACUCCUGCGGGAGGCAGCAGUGAGGAAUAUUGGUCAAUGGCGAGAGCCUGUACCAGCCAAGUAGCGUGCAGGAUGACGGCCCUAUGGGUUGUAAACUGCUUUUAUAAGGGAAUAAAGUGAGCCUCGUGAGGCUUUUUGCAUGUACCUUAUGAAUAAGGACCGGCUAAUUCCGUGCCAGCCGCCGCAGUAA